UCUUGCAGAAGUAUUAAGUUAGCUGCAUUUGAUCCACUGUGUCAGAGUCUGUUUAUUUUUUCCCCCAGUGACAAAUCCAGAGAACUUCUGUUGGAUCCAGCUAAAGUGUUCUGAAGCUGCAGCAUCUAAGAAGAGGAUUUGCCCACCCUGCAAAAGAUGCCCUUGUAGCAGCCUAUCAUCCUAUCACAGGCGGAACUGACCUUGCACCUUUCACAUUUCUUUCAAAAUUACCCUGCAGAACCUCAGGAAACACUGACCAAGGAGCCAAACUCUGGGGUAUGGGCUGGAAGGACAAAAGCUUUGCAGAUUGUUGCACACCAAGACACAAUGAAAGGCAGCUAAGCAAGGCUUGAUUUUUAUGUUGACAGUCUACUGUAAUUAGAGACAAUGCCCCAGAUCUGCUGGACCUAGAUCCUGUGUGUUCAUCCAUGCCUAGCAAUCAGCAAAACACACUUCCUACAGU
rnacentral:lncRNA from 1 species